rnacentral:rRNA from 1 species
GACGAACCGUCCUAACGUUGUUCGGAUUCACUGGGCUUAAAGGGCGCGUAGGCGGGCCCGCCAGUCCGGGGUGAAAGCUUUCGGCUCAACCGGAAAAGUGCCUUGGAAACUGCGGGUCUCGAGGGAGGUAGGGGCAUGUGGAACUUCUGGUGGAGCGGUGAAAUGCGUUGAUAUCAGAAGGAACGCCGGUGGCGAAAGCGACGUGCUGGACCUCUACUGACGCUGAGGCGCGAAAGCCAGGGGAGCAAACGGG